AUAGUCAAACAAUUAAACUCACUAUGAUACAUAGUAAAUCAAAUAGUCAAACUUAACCGUCAAAAUUAAGAUUUAUUCAUUUUAUUAGUUUGAUAAUUAAAUGAUUAUCAAACUGAUAAAAUGAAUAACUUCUAAUUUUGACUAUUUUGUUGACUAUGUUUUUUUGAAAAUGACAAACGAAUUAAGUGGAAUCCUACUUGUAAUAUUUCAACGAGCACCCCGGGUUCGAGCUCCUUUACAGGGCAAACCCAGUCCCCAUAGGGAUUUUCAGGGAAAAAUUCUCGACAUGUGGCACCACAAGAGGUAGCUUAAGGGAAUCGGACUCUCAACUUCACGUCUCACAUGAGUACAAAACCUGGUGCGUCCACCCAACUAGGUUGGACAUCUCUUGCAUUUGGUUGACUGUGUAGUGGGUUUAAUUUUGAAUAAAAAAACAUACAACAAAGUUAAUGUGGCUUAUAAAACCUGCUAUAUUAGGUAGCAGCGACCAAAAAAACAUAUGGACAUCUACUUUAUGCCCCCAUAAAGCACCAAAACUAAAAAAAGGUUUUGAAAUUGGAAAAUCGGAAAUAUUUUGUUGGACAAAUGUGUCAUUUUCCUAUAAAAAAAAUAAUGUUUUAUUUAUAAAAAUAUUAAUAGAAAUAUUUUGGGUAAACUACGAAAAUUGUCCUUGUAGUUUUUAAUUUUCAUCCAUUUAAUUUUCUUAUUCUUAUUCUUUUAUUUUUUUACCUAACUUUUACAUUGUUAGGUGUAGUCUUUUAGAAUUUUUUUAAAUUACCAUUUAUAUCAUGGAACUAAAUUUAUAAUUAACAAUGUUACUGUAAAUUUGAGAGUAAUUACAUGUUUGGUCCAUAUGUUUUGUGUAACGUCCAAAAAUAUAAAGUAAAAAUUUUGUUUCCAAUCACCAAAAAGCCAUUCAACCAUUUGUUAACAAUCAGGGUAUAAUAUGUUCAAACAUCAGAGUAAAAAUCAUAGAUCAAUGAUGUGAAAAAUAGGAAUGACAACAGGGUGAGGCAUGGUUUCCUAAACCCGUCCCGAUAUCUUUCGGGUAUCUUAUCAGGACGUCCCAUCGGGUUCGGGUUUUCCCAUCGGGUUUUGAGUAUCUUAUCGGGUUUACAAUAAUUCAUAGUGAAAUCUUUAUUCCGUUUUAGGGUACCCUGAUGUCUUAUAAAAAAAUACAUGUUCUGGCCUCCAUUUUAAACUAAAUAUGAUGAAUCACUUUAAUAAAACAAACUAGACGUUAUAUUAAAAGUUAUUUGAUUAAAGUUUAGUGUAAUACGUCAAAACAUAAAAAAUGAUCAUUCACAUUAGAUUGUUAAUAACUAAAAAGAUUGUCCACAAUAAGUAUUUUAUCUUUAAAUGCGUGCAAUUAACAUCAAAAGUAUUUUAUCUUUGAAUGCGUGCAAUUAACAUNNNNNNNNNNNNNNUAUAUAUAUAUAUAUAUAUAUAUAUAUAUAUAGAGAGAGAGAGAGAGAGAGAGAGUCAAGAUCAAAUAAGAAGGAAAAUUUUGGUAGGAAAGUAAUAAAUUUUUUAUAUACAUAUUUUUUUAGCAAAAAAAUGAAAUGAAUCAUUAGAUGAUUCAAAAGUAAGAUGAUUCACAAGAAAAAAUUCCGAAAAAAAACACAUUGAUGAUUCAUUUUUAGGUAAAUCAAGAAAAAAAUUCACUUUUAUGACAAUUUUAUUUAAUAUCAUCAGAAUCAUCAUAAAAAUGAAUCAUCGAAAUGUUUUUUCGGGAUCUUUUUGUUGAAUCAUGUUAUUAUUGAUUCAUUUGUUUUGUUUGCCAAAAAAGUAAGUCGAAAAAAAAAAUUCUUACCUUCCUACCAAAAAAAAAUUUCUUACCGGAUCUAUAUAAAGUAAUUAUUGUGUUAUUGUAUGCAUAAAUGUGAGCCAAUCAUAAUUAAAUAAAAAUUUAAAUAAUUAAAUAAAUAAACAAGGUUAUUUUAGUAAUUUGAUAAAUAUCUUCCACAAAUAGUCCUAUAGUCAUGCUAGCAUUCAAUUUUUAACCUGAUUUCUUUUCUUACAUACAGUCGUCAUCCAUUUGCGAGGUGGUCGUCUCCGGUUGAAGACCCCUUCACGUCGAUCAUCCAAUCACCGGCUACUGAUCAUUGUUGAUACCCAAUCUCCUCCUUCGAUUUAUGCCUUUGAUUUCAUCCCUUUAUCUUCAUUGAGAAAACCCACGAACCACCCCAAUCUACAUUCGAUUUCCCCCAAUCGUUUCUCGGUCGAACACUACCGUUGUUGCUGCUUCCUUCAACCUUGCAUAUGUUAGUGAAGAAGGAGAAAAACCCACAAAGGGCACACUGGGAUUAGCAACUCCCCCUCCCUCUUACUAUCGACCAACCACCAAUGGAACUUCCUCUAUCUCGUUGUGCACUUUCGAAGAAAAAGAAAUCCAGUGGAGCCAAGAGGCAGAAAUCCAUUAGGGCUCCCGGUGCUCGGAAUAGUAGCAACAGUUGCCGUUACUUUCUAUGUCGUCAACUUCUCCGAGCUUCGAGAGGUAAUCUCCCUUCUCUCUCUUUCAAUCAAUUGAUACUUUAUCCGUUUACAAUUUUGGUUGUUAGCUCAUUGACUUCUAAAAGAAGAAAAUGACAAGGGUUAUCUUUCACUGAAGGGUAUCAAACUAUUUUCUUGAAACCAAUCUGUUUUUUAGAUCAUAGGUUGCAUAAAUACUGAUUCUGAUAGAUAUGAACUUAUAUUUACUUGGAUCUUCAUCUGAAUAUUGUAUCAUGAUAAUUUAUUUGCUAAAAUCUUUUAGGACAUUGUAUCUUAACUUCAAGGUCCAAGAUUCAUAUAUACAUUAUCUUCUUGUGUUAAUUUUCAUUAAAUCCGAUAGUAACCAAAAUUUAUUACCAUUUUAUGACAUGGGAACCUCACAAAAGGACGCAAAAAGCAACGGAUUGAAGGACCUUUUUGUGAUGCCACUUAUAUCAAUUUUAAUUUUAAGUUGGAUUAUUAGUUUGAUAUUUCUUUUUGAUUAUCAGAAAAGGAUCUAGAGGUUGGAACUGGUAAAGGAGAAAAGCAAAAGCAGGGACUGCAAGUUUUCGUAUAUUAGAUAAGCAGGGACUGCAAGUUUUCUGUUGGAAUGGAAUCAUGAAAUCUAAUUAUGUUGGAAUGGAGUCAUGAAUUCUAAUUUUGUUGGAAUCUAAACUACAAUUUGGUGUUGUUUCACAGAAGUUGAUGCUUGAAGAACGGACCACAAAAUUGAAAGUGAUUAUAAGCAACAUUAUUUUUUUUAGAAUGUAUUAGUGUCGUUGUUAGAUUUUGAUGUUUUUUUCCCGUUUUGAAAGUUUUUUUAGUUUUAUUCUUUAACAAUAAAUGUAAUUUUUAACAAUUGUUACCCGUAUUGUAUAAGAAAUAAUGUAUUUUUUUUGUUUUGAUUCUUCAAUUGAUUGUUCAAGAAUUUGUUAUUCUACAAAAAGUUUUUAAAGUCAUGAUCAAGAAAUAGGCUCCAGAAUAGUUUUAUUAUUUAUGGUUUAAGAAAAUUUUUAUUUUUUGAAUAUACUCAUAAACAUAUUCUAUCAGAAUGUUCGAAUUAAAAAAAUUAUAAUUCGUAAAAUCGGAUUUUUAAAAUUAAUAGAAUCUAUAAUCCCUUAAAAUAUGCAAUUUUCCUUUAUUAAAUCUAUAUUAGUUGACUAAAAUACCCUUGUAAUUAAAUUAGACGAUAUUUUCAAUUAUAUUUAAUUCAAUAAUAUAUAUUAAUCACUUUCUUAAAAUAAGCAAAUUUGAUUGGCCCACAUUUAUGCAUACAAUAACACAAUAAUUAUUUUGAAUAGAAUAACCUAAGCCUAUAUAUAUAUAUAUAUAUAUAUAUAUAUAUAUAUAUAUAUAUACACNAACCGGGGUGGGGCGGGUCGGGGCGAGGAUAACCCACUCCCUGCCCCAAACCCGAUAAAAAACCUGAUAACGACCUGUUAUCCGACCCGAAAUGAUCGGGUUUCGGGUUUCCCCAUCAGGUUCAAGCUUUUUUGUCAUCCCCAGCGGAAAAUAAACUUUGGGGACGCAGUGCGAUCAAGUCGGAUCUUUCCCUUUCGACCCAAAAGUACUUGAGGCGUUUAAACAUAAAACGGGUCUAUUUCAACCCCAAGUGAAAGUUAUAGGCCAAAUAAUAAUCUGAUAUUCACUCAUUGCCAUGGGCCAAAUCAUGGUAUUUCCUUGUAAUGUCAAGGGUCAAAUCCUGGUCUUACACACAAGUUUUAGGGGCAAAUCAUGGUCUUCCAUAUGAUGUCAGGGGUCAGAUCAUGGUAUUUCAUACAAAUGUCAGAGGGAAUUAAUCCUUGUCUUCCAUUCAAGUAUCAUAAAGAUAACUAGCACCAUACAUAGUAUAGUGAGAAGCCUUGCCUCAUACUCGAAUCGAAUCAACCACAACUCAUACUGACAAAAAACUGGUGCUACAAUCCACCUAUUGAAGUAUUCAAGGCUAAUCCUUAGUCUAUACUCUAAACUAGCCAUUUGACCAAAAGCCAACCAUGUCUAAAAAGUCAACGGUCAAGGUUAAUGGUCAAGGUCAAACCGAGCCGACCUCCACGUCAUGGCCACCUAUUGGCCACGUCGUGGCAGCUUCUUGACAAAACAGUCGCGACUAGACCACUCACUACAUCGUGACAAGCAUGCUACUACAUCGUGGCAAUUGUACAUGGACAACUUAAUGGAUUAAGCUCUUAACCCUUUACCCCAAACGCUCCAAAGCUCAUAUCUAGACCACCUUAAGGUCUUGAUGGAUGAAGUUUCCAACUUUAUCCAUUAAUACAUUCCAAUAAGUCAAUAUCAAAUCCUAAGAUCUUAAUGGUUGUAUUAAAUGCAUGGACACCAAACUAAGUCAUGCAUGACCAUUUUCCAACCAACACCAUGGUUUAAAAGCUAAAUAAUGCACUUAAAGGCUUUUAAGUUCACUUAAACACCAAGAACAAGAAGAUUGGGACCAACAAGCUCGUAAAAUGACCUAGAACAAGAUCUAGAGAUACAAGGAGCAAGGUUGAGACUUUAUGUUUCCACAAGAUUUGAAAUGUGAUGAAGAUGUUGGAUCUAAGCUAGAACCAAGCUCACAAAACACAAGAUGAGCUCCUUCUUCCUUCAAGCUUCACAAAGAUGUAUUCACACACUCAAAACACGCACAGAUAGGCUAGGGUUUAGGUGGGAUUGAUUUCAGAGGAUGGAGGCUGCCAAAUGAAGCAAACCUAUGAGUUAGAUCCUUUAAAUAGGGCACUGAUCCUGAAAUCUGGGGUUUUGAACCCCAGUCGACACCAUGUCGUGGCCAAGGCUGUAACAUCUAAUGCAGUUAUUUGAUCUUUCAAUGCUAUGAAAUUAUUACAGAAUGAUAAACCUCAUUUUAUAUAGUUGGUCAUGACGUGAGAGAGAGUGUCUCACGAUGUGACAUUCGACUGAACCGUGCAUCCUUCCUUGAGGCUCACGACAUGACACAUAGGUGUUCAUGUCGUGAGAGCAGUCUAAACCUAAUCAUGUGUUGUACGUGAUGAGCAAAAAUAUACCUAUAAACUUUUAAAUUUAUAAAUCUAACUAACUUAACCAAUUAAUGCUCAUAUAGGUAGUGUAUCUAGUCGAAUUAUAGUAUAGUUGGGUAAGUCGGGUGUCGAUCACAUGGAAUGAAAUUCUAAUUAAUAAAAUAAUUACUAAUUAUUAACUAAAUAAAACAAGUAAAAUGGAGGUUUUUACGGAUUUUGCAAGUUCAGCUAACUUAAAUCAAACAAAUAACUAAGCAAACAAAGAAAACGGUUUUUCUACUUCAAUUAUUAAUGAGUACUCCUGUUAGUUAUGAAUUCCCUUUCCCGUAUGGUUGAUUUAUACUAGAAAAAUUAUAUUGGUUGCCAAUUAAUUAAUACUAGUUACUAUGGUUUAGAAUUCUAGUUUUUUUCAAUUUACGAACUACUAUGCAAUGAUUAAGCACAAGUUGAACACAAAACUGAUAUAAAGAUAAAUUGGACUAUGAAUGAUAAAAUUAGGAACCACUAAUCUAUGAUCAAGAUAGCAAUUCAAACACACAAUAUAGAUAAUCAAUGCUCUCUAGCACAACCAAAGUUAUUAGCUUUAUUUGCCUAACUCUAUGAUUUGUUCAAUCACAAGAUUUAAUUAUUUAAUGGUCAUAAACAAUUAGAAAUCAAAUUAAUGUUGUUAGAAUGAUCAUCUACCACACGUAACUUGAAUGAAAUGUAAUGAAGACUAAAAAUUUAACAUGUUAGGGUUAUAAUUCAUCAAACACAAGAAAAAGCCAAAUAAAUUGUCAUAAAAGCAUUAAAUCAACACAUGGAUUCAAGGUUCAUCAUGUUGGGUUAUGAGCAUUCUAACACUCCUAAGUGUACAUGCAACCCAAAAUACCUUGGAUCUUUGUUUUCUCUAUUAUACAUGCAAAUAUGAAUAUUCCAAGGUAUUACCCUAUCUAGCAUACAGUCUCUUAGAUACAUGAGUAAUAAAAAGGAUAAAAUACAUACCUUGUUGAUGUAGCUUGACUCCAUGACGCUCGAGAGCCUAGUGCCCCAAGUGUGACACCUCAAAUGGUUCACAUAACACCAAAUGCACAUGGAAUGACUUGAGAGAAAAUGGAACACUUCAUAAAAUCGGCUAGCCCUUUCUAUCACACAUAGUGCCCGAUUUUCUCCAAGAAUAAGAUCAUUAUAUAGUUAGGGUUACACCAUGUAAACCCUAAUUGUCAUGGCCUUUCAUUUCCAUGAUCCAUGGGUACAAAUACACCAUAGAGCAUCUUAUGGGUUUUAGCCCAACUUGACAAUCCAUGUAGCAUUAGCCCACUAUAUAAGUAUGGAUGAUUUACACAAUCAACCCAUAUAUUUAAUUAGUCUUCUUUUGAUCACUUAAUUAAUUCUGGAUUAAUUCUUGAUCAGUACUAAUUAAAUAAUCUUAUUAAUAUAUUAGAACUUAUAAUAUAUUAACCAACCUUAAGUGUUAUUUCUCUCAUUAUAGUCUAUCCAAACGCAUGAUGCCAUGCAACCCAAAUGGACCAUGCCGGGUUGGGUCAAGUCUUACCAAUUAUAGUUAUGGACUUAGACAUCAAUCCAACAGUCUCCCACUUGGAUAAGUCUAAAACUAUUAUUGCGUAUGACUUCAAGAACCGACUGGCAAUCAUAGCUCUCAAAAGCUUCUGUCGAACUCUGACCUUGUCGAUGAUCUUUGACCUUUGUCAAUGACUUGUCCAUUAGAUAAGUGAUCAUAUAUUCCUCCAUUCUAGAUAUCAUAUGGAUUGAGACAUUGAUUAUAAUCAUUCUCUCUGUCCAUCUGUUGUUUCACGAUUCCCGAUUCAUGACAACUGACUGAAUGAACAAAUCAAAUCAGUCCUGGCUUGGCCAAGCACUUGCAUGUAUCAUCAUUAAAUCAUCGAGGGGCCCACAGAUAUCGCUUUUAUCCCGAAGGUAAAAGGAAUGGAUAAACUUCGACUCAUAUGGCUUUUUGUUCUACUUGUUGAAUCAUACACAAAGGCACGUUUUAUAACACUGAGUUACCAAAUGCGUUUUCGUGCAAUCAAUGUACAACCAACUCAUAGUAACAACUCAUAUCUCUAGGUUUGAAGAAUAUAAGAUAUUAUCGUCUCAUGAUCACUCGUGAUAAAAUCCAUGAAGUGAUUCCAAUGAGCGCGGGUUGAAUCCAAUACUCAGAACUUAUGAGCACUCAUGAGUGUUGUAGCCCUUUGUCCAACACCUUAGACCUCUACAAGCCAACCCAUGACAGUCUUAAUUCAUAUCUACUUCCAACAUAUGACCGACUGUGGAUGGUUUGAAUAACUUAGUCAUUCCGGAAGAAUAACCUAGUUUAUUCGGGAAGUCAAAACAUGCAAAAUGAAACACAAUAAUAAUUGAAUCCAAUAUGGUAUCAAAACCUAUGAACAUAAAUAAAACACCUUUUAUUUAUCACCAUAUGAAUUACACAUUAUUCAUUGCAUAUUGUUUCAGCUAUCAACUUUAUUUUUGAAUUAAAACACUAAUUGUCCCAUGCUCCAAGCAUGUACACUAUGUUUUCUAAACACUAGUCAUGCCAUACACCAAGUAUGCACACUAUGUUUGUCUAUGAUCUUUACAUUGUGAAAUAAACCAACUGAACCGUGAUUAUAAUUUCACACUCCCAAAUCCUUAUUGUAAAUGUAAGAAUUCUAAAUCCUUAUCAUUUAUUGAAAUCUAUUAGAUUUUAAACUUAUAUGCAUUGGUCCUCUUGUAACGAUUAUGCACAAAGUCACAAAGACUUGGCAACAAUCAUUACAGAGUAUUCCAAAGGAGAUCAACUCCUUGGAAAUAUCCUUCUUGCAUUAAGUUUCCUUAAUCUUACACAGAUUGAAAAUUCUAACUUUGAAACAUUUCCAGAUUCCAUUUUGACUAUCACUUCUGAACAAGAGUUGCCUCCUUACAGAUUAUGUCAAUAUGGUCCUUCCAGAAUUAUCACUAUACUUCCAACUGUCCUUGAGCAACCAAUCUUUGGUAAACCUUAGAUUGUCCUCGACAAUUGUUUAAUCCUUUUAGUCAUAUCCAGUUCUAAACCUUUUCCCUUCUUAAUGCCCCAGGCAUUUGGAAAAUUUUAGAAAGGAUGAAUAUAGCACAUGUAAUCGAUCCUAUAUCCGAAGCAUAUGGGACACGAUUCAUGAUGUCUCACAUAAAGACUAAACUAGUCUUUUUCUAUAAUAUUUCCAUUUCAUUUUGCCAAGUUCUCAUAAUUCAUAUUAUGAAAAGGGAUGCCGUAAUCAUAAUCGAAUUUUAGAACGCAAAUAAUGGACCCAUAUACAGAAUUUCCUUAUGUUGAGCCAUUCCAACAUGAAAUUCAUAUAUAUCCUUGACUAAAUGAUUAAAACCUCACGAUCUAAGCUUAUAGAUUUGAGAUGAAGUAUAAUUUCCUCUCCCUUAAUUAUAGCAAAACAACUUUUUCCCAAUUGAAACUUUUGUUUUCUAUAAUUAACAUUGCUAACUUGCAAUACUUAUCAUAAUUAUCAUGCUCCCACUAACAUGAUGAUUAUUAGCAUAACACUUAUGCUCCCACUAGCUUUGACAUGUACUCAGAAAUCAGCUGAACUUCUAGAAAAACAAUACUUUAUUGACUUUCUUACCAAAGUUCAUAUUUCUGAUACUAGAUUGCUUUGAUAAAAUUGUAUCAAUAUCAUACACUUUAUCUUAGAUAGCUCACAAGUGUGUCUAAACAAUUUUAAGACCUUUGCCACUUCUCACAAGUCCAAGUUAGUGUGUCGGUUAACCACACACGCUCCACUAACGAAUUUGAGAAUGCAAAUAUCACAAUUGCUAUCUAGCUAAAAUCUACUUAGUGAAAGUGUUUCCUCACCAUCAUUUUCAUGAAUCGGAGAGAAACCUUAUGACACUUAGAUUUAAUGGUGUAUGUGUUCUUAUCCAUGUGAAUUGUCAAAACCAUAGUCACAAGACAAGGAUAAUGACAAAUCCAAACUCAUAUGGACUGAACUCAAUCUUAAUUUCUUGCCACCUGGCAGCUCAAGGGCCUGCCAUUGCUUCCAAGUUGUUGUGCAACAAAUUGAGAACUCUAAGAACUCAUAUGCAAAGCCAACUUUAACUGGAAUGGGCACAGAAUAUGUCAACACGAUAGGUUAUAAACCUCAAGUCGUGUGCUAGUGAAGAACUUCAGGUUUUAUUCUUGAUUAGUUCUUGAGACUUUCAAGACCUUUAAGACUCCCACUGUCCUCUUGACAUAUAAGACUCCCUUGUCAAACAUCCAAGAGAUAGUGCGGAUUCUAAUCAAGAAAAACACUUUACCCAAUUGGCCUAAGUUGGUCUUUGUUUUAUCCAAAACAUCACAACUUACCAAUUUCAAAUGUACAAGAGUAGAAAACUUUUACUCUUACAUUUGACAAGUGUUUUAAACCUUCUUUAAGACAUGUCACUCAAAUGACAAUCUUGGAGUAUGACUCUAAGACUUGUAUUGGAACGAAGUAUGACUCAUCUUCUUGAUUUAACCAUUUCAACAAUUCAAGUUCCUCUUCUUAGUCAUAAGAAUGCACUAAGAUUUCCUUAGAGAACUAAUUUUGAUAUGGUUUCUUAAUCAUUAAGAUGAUCACAAAACUGAUACUAAAGUACUCUCCCAUCUUUUCAGAUUUGAGAAACUUUUAUCCUUCUGCCUAAUUUGAUUCUUCUUAUUCGCUCUGCCAUACAUUGGAACCUUUUCCAAUGUCUCAGAAUUACACUUAAGCUUGUAAGUAUAACCAUAUUUACUGAGCUUUAGUAAAUAAUGAUGAAUAUUCUUAUCGAUCUUUUGUGGUGGACUUGAACAGUGCACAAGAAUGUGUACUCGAUCCCUUAGUCUUUCACUUUACUCACAUAUACAUGUGAACAAGGAACUAGUCUUAAUUUUCCACAGAUGAAAAAUUCUCAUUCAUCAUGCUAUACAACUUGCAUGAUUCCAAGUUUCGGUCCAAUUGAAACUUGGGUGAUGAGGAUCUUUCUUUAUUUGGUAAAUUUAGACAUUACCACAGAUGAAAUAAUCAAAUUCAUUUUCCAAUAUUGCUAUCAAUGGAAUCAUAUAAGCAACACUUUUUCACAAAUUCCAUUGUAAGGAUCCUUAAAAUAAAUAAAAUCAAAUAUUUUCCUUUUAUUUUAAAACUUUGCGGAAAAACCUAUCCUUACAGUGCAAAUGAAAACCUUGUUGUUAUCUAUUCCUAAGCAAUGUGUCAUAACUCCUAAGUAACAACUCAAAAUUCUGAUGCGAUCAAAAUCCAUCUUGCGAUCAGAAUCAACAUAUACUUCCUUUAAGCUUUCUCUCUUUCUUUGAUUCUUAUAACAUCACCAGGUGACCCAUUCACAUUAUGUAAUAGAAUCUCCAAAUAGGAGCUUAGCAGAGUUAGACAAAGGACUUUAUCUGAUGUAGAGUCAAACUUAUUGACUUUAACAUCCUUAGGUAAAAUUGGCAGCUUCGCAAUCAAUGCCCCUUCCUUUGGCAACUUAACACAUGGACGCUUUGGUAAUGGUACAUGAGACUAUCACAGACUUAGCCUUUCUCUUUACCAUUUGGUCAACCGAGUUGACUAUGGCCGAUCCCAUUCCAUUGGGGAGAGAAUGCUUUUUCUGGAUUUCCAGUGUCAUCAUUGUCCAUAAAGUUUUGAUCUUAGCAAAUAGAUAAGAUCAUUAAGGGUCGUGUCAUAGUCUAUUUCAUAGGAGUCCCAAAAGAACUCACUGUGUGACUUAGAAAGUGAUUGAACCACCAAAUUUCUCAAGACUUUGACACCCAACUCUCCCGACUUGUCAAUAUGUGACUUCAUCUCCAAUAUGUGAUCACACCUAGACCUUGCCUUGCCAAUAGGGCUUGAGUGACCUUGAACUUGUGGGUUAGGGAGAAUAAUUGGAGGAGGUGGAGGAAGUGAAGUUCCAAGAGAUUUGGGAAGAUCAUAGAUGUCUGAACUAGACAUCUUUUGGGAGAUAUUCAAGAUAGUUGAUAUAAAGUCCUUAAUAUAACACCCAAUAUGAAAUAUUAAGGCUAGGACCCAACAAACUAUUUUAUAACUUGGAAGAGGGAUGCCGUAAUCCAAGCUAUAAAAUAUUUUGAAGGUAGGUGAAUGACGAUUCACCAAUUUCCACCAAGAUAAACGAAAUGUAUUAUUAGGUUUUAAUUGGUUUUGAAACUCCUAGAUUAUUUUGAGAUUCAUUGAACUUUUCAAUGACAUGUUUCAAUCUCGAGUGUGCCCUUCAGGUUUUGUGACUGGGAUGUCGAGGAUCACAAAACAAGGCGUGAAGUAACCAUGCAAAUAUACUUGGUACCCUUAAUAUUUACCCCUUAAUCGAUGUGUCGGUUAACCACACACACUCCACCGAUACUAUGAUAAAUAUUAAGUUACCCUUUGCCUACCUUGUUAAGUUCAGGUUAGUGUGUCGCUUAACCACACACGCUCCACUAACGGCUUAAACAAAGUGCAAAGUGUAAUUUCAUGGAUUAGCAUCUUAUUCACAUUUUCCUAAGUAACUAAGAUAGGGUAUUCAUAAGAGUUCAGUUACUUAGUAUUUAUCAUUAAUGCUUUUAAUGAAGGGAGAAUUCUAGUCAUUGUCCUACCCGUUCGGNGUUGCCAUUUUAUAGGCAACAACCUUAUACCCACCUUAUAGACCGGCUUCGUGAAUGAGGCGUACUAGCGGUAAGACUGACUUUACUCUUAUACAUAUAAAUAUUAUUAACUUAUAAUAUUAUAAAGUAUAAGGGUUGAAUUUUAACUUUUAAAAUUCUAAGGGCUAACUUGGAAUUAAAGUAUUCAUAAGUGAAAACUUUUCAAAUUCCAAAACUUAAGGGCAAGUUUUUGAAACUAUUCAAAACUAAUUAAUUCCAUAACUUAUGAGUUUAAAGUAGUUUUAAUUAAAAAACUCUUCAAGUUCUAUAACUUGAGGACAAGUUAUGGAAGACUUUAAAGUAUUAAAAAAUGUAACUUUUCUUCUUUUGUAACUUAUGGAACUAAUUAAGGUUACACAUUUUAAUGAUUUAAUGAAGUGACUCUUGAACCUCCAUAAAUUGAGGAUCAGUUAUGGAGUCAUAAAACCAUUUAAUGAGGACAAGACUCUUCAUUUUUGUAACCUUUGCCAACUUUUAUGAGUUUUAAGAAACUUAAAUGUGACCUUUCAUGUAACUUGAGGACAAGUUACACAAACACAUUUUAGAAUCAUCUCUUAGAUUAAAAUGGAUUGAAAACACAUAAUCAAUUAACUUAUCUAUUAAUCUAAGCAACUCAUAUGAACAAAGAUAAUUCACAUCAAACUUUUUCAUGUAAUCAGCAUAACUCUUAAACUAAUACAAAACAUGAAUAUGCUGACAAUUAUCUUUGAAAUUGGAUUAGCAUGAACAUUACCACAUCAAAAACACGUUUAUAAGUCCAAAAACAGCUUUUGGUAAUGUUCCUAGUCCAAUUCCAGCCAAAAAACUUGAAAAUAUGUUGUCUGAGGCUCCUACUCGUCGAGUGUAUGAACCUUCUCGACGAGUAGGAUGAUUUUCUUCAUGGAAUCGGCGAGUUCAUCAGUGGACUCGACGAGUCCAGUGCCCAGAAAGUCAGAAAAUCGAUUUUUUCAGCAUUUUUCAGCACUUUGCAUCAAGUAUAAUUGAAAACAAGCCUAGGCUUUGAUACCACCGUUGGGUUAUGAGCAUUUUAACACUCCUAAGUGUACAUGCAACCCUAAAUACCUUGGAUCUAUGUUUUCUCUAUUAUACAUGCAAAUAUGAAUAUUCCAAGGUAUUACCCUAUCUAGCAUACAGUCUCUUAGAUACUUGAGUAAUAAAAAGGAUAGAAUACAUACCUUGUUGAUGUAGCUUGGCUCCAUGAUGCCCGAGAGCCUAGUGCCCCAAGUGUGACACCUCAAAUGGUUCACACAACACCAAAUUCACAUAGAAUGACUUGAGAGAUAAUGGAACACUUCAUAAAAUUGGCUAGCCCUUUCUAUCACACAUAGUGCCCGAUUUUCUCCAAGAAUAAGAUCAUUAUAUAGUUAGGGUUACACAAUGUAAACCCUAAUUGUCAUGGCCUUUCAUUUCCAUGAUCCAUGGGUACAAAUACACCAUGGAGCAUCUUAUGGGUUUUAGCCCAACUUGACAAUCCAUGGAGCAUUAGCCCACUAUAUAAGUAUAGAUGGUUUAUACAAUCAACUCAUAUAUUUAAUUAGUCUUCUUUUGAUCACUUAAUUAAUACUAGAUUAAUUCUUGAUCAAUACUAAUUAAAUAACCUUAUUAAUAUAUUAGAACUUAUAAUAUAUUAACCAACCUUAAGUGUUAUUUCUCUCAUUAUAGUCUAUCCAAACGCAUGAUGCCAUGCAACCCAAAUAGACCAUGUUGGGUCAGGUCAAGUCUUACCAGUUACAGUUAUGGACUUAGACAUUAAUUCAACACAUCAUCCCUAACAAAAGUUUAGGGUGAUUAGCCCAUAACGAAAUCAUAAACAAACAAGAAAUCAAAGGUAACUAGAAUAGACAUGAUAAAAGUCUAGCAAACCAAAUGAAUUGAUGGUGUUUUCUUCUAGAUCUCUUCAAAUAUUGAGCUCUAAUCAAUUUAUUCUCUUCUAAGGGUUUUCCAGAGGGUUUUUGUCGUAAUGUUCGGAUAUAUAUAUAUAUAUAUAUAUAUAUAUAUAUAUAUACACACACACACACACACACACACACACACACACUUGCCUAAAAUAUGGCCAACACGUCGUGGUAAAUGUCACCACAUCGUGGUCUUCAUAGAAAUUAUGUAUUCUUCAAGUCAGCUCAACGAUCGCUAAGUUUCGAUUUACCACAUCGUGGUGGUGUCACCACAUCGUGGUAGCUAGGAAUCAACAUUUUCUCAAAACACGAAAGUCGUCCGAAAAUUUGUCUAGUUUUCAGAUCAUUUUGAACCUCGUCAAUCGAAUUUACGAUUCAUGAGAUAUAGCCAAAAUACUGACAAGUGGUGAAGCUCUCUAACAACAUUCUUUUUGUGUCUUCCUCUUGCCUAAACUCGCAUUUUCCUGCUUCCAGCUUCCAUAUUGCUUCUGAGCAUGUCUAUUAUGCUAUAUAGCAUAUAUUAAACAUAAUAAGUACCUUUUGUUAUAUAAUAAGAAUAAUAUAGCAUAAAUAUUAAGAUAAUGAAUGGAAUAUAUGACUAAAUAUGCACAUAUCAAAAUACCCCAUACUUAACAUUUGCUUGCCCCCAAGCAAACUGUUUUUUAACUUACCAAUAUCGCAUAAAACAAUCUAUUUUAAACCCAUCCAUUAUCCUAAGACCGCAAUGCAUGUAUUUGUGUAUCAUUCCUAAAAACUUCCCAAUCCUAAAUACUUACAAUCCUUAUGAACAUUCACCCCACUGACCGAUCCAGUACUAACAUACAAGUCUAUAAGCUCAUAUAGUAGGCAUAUAAAUGCAUUUCUCCUAGCAUUCUAUCAUGCAAUCCUGAGUAGAUCCUUAGCCCUAACUUAGCAUGCAGUUCUUAAAUUCAUAAUUCAAAGCAUAUCAAAUAUAACAUGUAUGAGUAUUUUGGGAAAACUUACUUGAGCUCGGUCGAGUGCAUGUACCACACCCGUUCUUUUAUUAGAAAAUCCUUUAAUUAAAACAUUUCUUUUAUUGAAAAAUCUAUCAAACCCUCAUUUUAACUUCAGACACACCCGAGAGUAUGUCCGAAUCUCUCAAACCAAGGCUUUGAUACCAACUUGCAACAUCCCAAAACCCAGAACCCAAAAUUUUUGUUUUUAUAUUAAAUAAAACAACCAGACGUGUUUAUCAAAACCAUAAGAAAAUCAUAGUGUAUCAAUAAUCAUCCAAAAUACAUAAGAGUCAAUAAAGCGAAAGAUCAUGGUGUGUGCGAUGUGAUCAUCCCGAACUCUUCCCAUUGGAACCGAAAGUACCUGAAACACAAAUUGAAAACUGUAAGCACAAAACUUAUUGAGUUUCCCAAAACACUCCAUACCAUACAUACAAUGGGCCUUAGCCGACAACCUUCGGGCCCCGUCCGAUAUCGAUCCCCGCUUGAAACAUAUGUAUCAGUAACAUGCGAUGGGCCCCGCCCAACAUACUCAUCAGGCCCCGCCCGAUAUAUAUACAACCACAUACAACACAUGCAAGAGCUACACAGACAGUUAACAUACAAAUAAGAAUAAUCCAUGAGUCGGUAUUGGCGCCUUCGACCCGCCAAACAAUGGGAGGAGACUCACCUUAAUCGACUAAAAAUCAAAUAAAUGCUCGAUUUAAAAUAUGAUGACAACUCGAUUUAAAACAAUUAUUUGUUUGCAAAGAAACUCAAAUUUAUAUAAACAAUAUGAAGAAAAAAAAUUACAUACCUUAUAUUGAUUAGCUAUGACUUGCUCGUUAAAAGUCUCAAACCAUGAACAAUUUAGUGUAUGAAUUAGGGCUAGAAUUUAAUACAUAAUCAUAUUAGCAUCGACAAAGAUAAUGGAGUAAACAAAAAUUGAAUAUAAAAUCACAAUAUCAAAAUAUAAAAGAACAAACCAAACCGAGGAAAUAGAAUCACAAUAAAAGAUCACAAACCAACAAUGAUGAAGCAAGUCAUCGACGACGACUAUGGACAAACGAGAUGGAGGCGGUGGAUGAACGCGACGACACGGUGCAACAGACGACGAUGAUGGUGAAACAAAUCAGAGAUAGAAGACGAAUGAGCGUUGUUAGGAAGUGAAGAGUCAUUUUCAUGGUUUUGUGUUUGAAUAUUGGGAUGAGUUUUAGAUGGGAGGGGUAGAUUGUAAAGUUUGUUAAAAUGAAAAAAAAAAAGCAAAAUUAUCAUUUUAUAAAAAAAUGUUUGUACGGUAAAAAGUUAUUAAGUUAGUGUAUAGGAAUCAACUCACAAUUGUAAAUAUGUUUAUCAAAAUACACAUAUUUUUAUUUAUGUUUACAAAAAUACACAUAUAUUUUAAUUUUAUUACUUUUUCCAAUGAAUAUGGAUUUUUUAAAUUCUUUUUUUCCCAAUGAAUACGGAUUUAAGAGGUGGAAUAAUUGUUUCACCUUGCAAAAUAAGUUACACUGCAGAAACAUAAUUGUUAUAAAAAAGUCACCUUUAACAUUAUAAAAAAGGCACUUUUAUUACUACACCUACUUUGUAAGAUCUCAGCCAAAAAGCUUUUGCAAAGCCUGCUUAAUUCAGUAGAAAACAAAAAAACUCCAUGGAUUCUACUGCUUCAUUCAGGAUCAAAUACUAAAGGCCAUCUCACUGGAGUCCAUCCCACUCAAAAACCACAAUCAUAUCAACAAAUUUGCCGCACACAUCCCAAAAUUCUUAACCUUUUUCUUCAUCAAUGGCUACGCAAGAUCACCUCCACCUCCAUGAGCAACACCACAAACAGAGCUAUGAAGAGCUGCUUUGCUCUUAUUUAGGCAUAAGUUUCGCAAUCUUUCUAGGGUUCCUUCCUAAACAAUCGCUUGCUUUGGUCACAUCUCUCCAAACUCAUGACGAAUCACUCUCUAAAAGGCUCUUACAAGCAGAAGAACAACUCGAGCAGCUCUACUCGCGAAGAAAGGAGGAUUCCAAAGCGAAUGCUAGGGUUGUUGAGAUAUUCGCUAGCCACCGCCACGGAUGGCAGCAAGAAGAGAAACGCCUCCUCCGUCAGAUCGACGAAAACGUGGAGGAGAUUGCGAAUUUGAGGGCUAAAGUGGAGGACCUCGAGAUUAGGGUUGAUGAGUUGAAAAGGGAAGUGAGUGAGAGAGAUGAGUUGCUGAAUUUUAUGACGAAUAGGGAGGAUGAUGGCGGAGGAUACGGUGGCGACGGUGAUGGAGAAUUCUAUGGAGAAAUGUUGGGGUCUAGGUAUGGGAAAUUAAGGGUUUCAGAUGAGGGGAUUAACCAUAACCAUAACCAUAACCUUAAGCAUGAUAUCAAUUACGGUAAUAACAGUGUUAUGGGAGAUUGUUAUAUGGAAAGAGGGGUUCACAAUGUGGAUGAUUUGGGCUCGAUUUAUGAUGUGCAUUCCAUGUUUAAAUCUUCAGAGUUUUCCAAUUCCGAGGUUUCCAAGUUCUUGGCAGAAAGAUCAAAUCUUUGGCAGGUUUUGAAUGCUAAUCUCCAUUAAAGUUCAUAUGUUUGUUCUUCAUUACAUGCAUUCUUUUAGCUGAAUGGUCCAUCAAAACUUCAAAUGCUGCAUGAUACGAAGUAAUUUCAUGAAGUUAAAUUACUUAUUGAUCUCUUUAAUUAUUAAAAUUAGGUUUAACUAAUGAUACCUUUUUAUCAUGGGUGUCUUUAUCAGCUACAGGUUGGCAAUAGUGUCUCUAUAUACAUAUUAAACUCAACGUCUUGAAUAAGAUAUUAUUUGUAUGUUAUAGUUGUGAAUUUAGGAUGAUAACUAGGAAUCCCGAUUUCUGUUUGGUGGUGGUGGUUGAUUUCAUCAAUUGCAGUUUUGCAGUUUGAAUGAAAGUUGGACCACCUCAUCACUGGCUACCACUCCCCAUGCAAUUUUCCAUUAUUUCCAUUUUAUUUUUAUGAUUUAAAGUCAAAUCUUAAGCCAAAGUAAUUGAAACCCAUUAGUCUUUUUCAUAUUUUGCACUAGUGACUGGUUUAAUAUAUGUUGAAAAACUUAACUUAUUAAGAUAAUCUUAAAUCUUAAAUGUUGACCAGUUGGGUUGACUUUCCGAGUGCUAAUUUGUGCAGGGUGUACAAUAUGAACCUGUCGAACAAGCUCACGAUUUGAAGCACUAUGUAACAAGGUAAUCUUGCUUUAGAAUUUGAAUACAUAUCUAUCAUAAAUCAUGAUUCUUUUGACAUAUCAAAAGUCAAAACUAAAUCAAUCCUUUUUUUUUUUUAUCAGGAGAGAAUCCCCUUGGAAGGUGGAUGGUGAUUCAUCCGGGGUUUCUGCAAAACUAAAAUUGCUGGAACAAGAGCUUCAAAAUUUGGAAAAUAUCGGAUCAAAUGAUUUGUUAAAAGUCCCAUCAUUAAUGAGAAAACAAGCAAAAAGAUAUCAAGCUCUAUCCGGAAAAAUCGAUGAUCUUUGCAGAAGAAUGGUACCCACACACAACUCUAAAUCCUCUUACAUUAUUUAAUCAUAAUGUUAUAAACUCAAGUUUCAUUAAAGAACCGAAUCUCGUCCCUUGGAUGAAAACAAUCAACGACCGAGAUUACAAAGCAGUUAGGCGGUUACAUAACAUUUGGCUUUGUGGGGGCCCACAAUUCUGUAACUGCCUAACUGCUUUGUAACCACCUACAAAUCACGGGCCGUGAUUUGUAGGGGCCCACAAUUGUGGUUUCUCUUUUGAACAUGAUUUUGUGUGCUUGUUUUUGAAAAUAAUUAUGGUUAUAUAUAUAAUAUUUCAGCAGGAGAAUGAUCCUUGUGAACCAAAUGCGGGUUUAGAGUUUCGAACACAGAGACAAACCGAGUUUUUACUAGAAGCACUUCGGCUUCAACAGCGUGCGUCUGAAACGGGUCAGAAGUUGAUGGCAUUGCAAACAGAAACAGGGAAUGGGAACGGGUGUAAUUAUGGUAAUGAUUUGGUGGAAGGGCGUGCAAGAUUAACUACUAGACUCGCGUUAAACUCCAUAAGAAAUAAUUUCAGGGAUAUUCAGAGAAAUUUGGAGAUAUGGUUGGCCAGAAUCAUUGGUGAUGUUGAAGGGAUUUUGGCUAGAGAUGGGGCUUCGCGUGUCAAUGAGUAUUAUAUUUCUCCGAGAUACCCUUUUGUUCAACACGAACGAUUCUAAGUUUUAACAUUUUUUUUUGGUUUGAUGAAUUUAAAAUCGAUUGAUUCAUGGCUUGAUGUGUACAUGUUUUUGGCCUAAUCUUGAAGUUGUGUUAGAAUGUGUUUAAGCUUCCAACAUUUAGAUUGUUGACCUCCUUUCCGUGCAUAUGUGCAUUGGAUUAUUUUGCUCUAACUACUGCAAAUUUUCUGUAUAUUAUUCCAACUAAUAUGUAAUUCUGUUGCAAAAAAAAGAGGCCACACUUUUGUUCAGUCAUUGACUCAUGGUUAUAAUAGGAGUAUGUUAUGGUUGUAUGAUUUUUUAUAAAAUUGUAUGCUUUACGUCUUGUUAUGUUAGAGUUUCCUUUUUUUUUUAUUCGCAGCUAAGUGCUAUUUGAUAAAUUGUUGUAUGAAUGAAUGAUGUUUAAACAUAUAAUUAUAUGACGAGAUCAAAUUUGUAAAAAGUAUGAAGUUGAUGGAUUUUUUUCCCAACUUCUCUAAUUUAGUCAAUCUUUAAGUUCCAAGUCUUUUAGACUUACAGACCAUUUGGAGACAGGCAAUGGAUGGUUAUGUCCUUAAAAGGUUAUACACAAAGUCUUUCAUUUAUUUGGAGCACAUUAAAUGACCAUUUUGCCCGUUGUAUCUAUAAAUGAUACAAAUACAAGGGAUGAUAGUUUCAACACAUCACCAUCAAGCACAAAAAGAACAAUCACUUGUAUGACUUAGUGCUGUGUCUUAGAUUUGGUGGAAAUGAUAAAUGAUUAUUUUUGUUUCUUGUGCCAAAAUAUAAAAUAAGUUGAAAGAGAAUAGCUAAAAUCCAACAGUUUAAUGUCUGAUUAAGAUACCAUUUCCAUAAGUGGAGUCUGGAGACACACAAGACAGAAAUCACCAACAAUUAAAACAUAAUUCUUCUUCAUAAACCCAUAUAUAUAAUUAGGCAUCUAUGCUCAACAAAUUCAAGCAGUUGCAGCUUCAAGCAAUUGUUUCACCUUG
rnacentral:lncRNA from 1 species